rnacentral:lncRNA from 1 species
CAACAAUACUACUUGCUGUUCAUUAGUUUAAAGGUUUUAAGACUAAAAUUAUAAAAAGAAAAAAACAAAUGAAAAAUGGGGUGUACUUUAAACAAAUGAUUAAGCUUCAGACUGCCAGAUGUUACUAAGAAGAUCAUACAUGCAUUUUCUUUCUUUGUUAGUGUGGGGUUGUUGUUUUUAAAAGAAAAAGAAAACAAAUAAGGAAAUUUAUGCUAUAAUGAUAGUUUUAUACUCAAUCAG